AUUGAACGCUGGCGGCAUGCCUUACACAUGCAAGUCGAACGGCAGCAUGGAGAGCUUGCUCUCUGAUGGCGAGUGGCGAACGGGUGAGUAAUGCAUCGGAACGUACCGUGUAAUGGGGGAUAACGUAGCGAAAGUUACGCUAAUACCGCAUACGACCUGAGGGUGAAAGCAGGGGAUCGCAAGACCUUGCGUUAUACGAGCGGCCGAUGUCAGAUUAGCUAGUUGGUGAGGUAAAGGCUCACCAAGGCGACGAUCUGUAGCGGGUCCGAGAGGAGGAUCCGCCACACUGGGACUGAGACACGGCCCAGACUCCGACGGGAGGCAGCAGUGGGGAAUUUUGGACAAUGGGGGCAACCCUGAUCCAGCCAUGCCGCGUGAGUGAAGAAGGCCUUCGGGUUGUAAAGCUCUUUCGGCCGGGAAGAAACAGCAGCUCUAACACAGUCUGCGAAUGACGGUACCUGAAGAAUAAGCACCGGCUAACUACGUGCCAGCCGCCGCCGUAA
rnacentral:rRNA from 1 species